GGAGCGGAUUCCGGUCGCUGCCGGUAAAAAAACCGGGAGAGGAAAGUCCGAACACUAUAGGGCGGCGAGCCAGCUAACGGCUGGGCGUUUUCUCAUUAAAUGGCGAAAACGACGACAAGUGCAACAGAAAAUAAACUAGCCCGGUGCGCCGGGUGAUGGGUGAAAUGGUGCGGCUCCUUUCGGAGCUUAAUGUAAGAGCGCACCAGCGCGUUUGGUAACAGACGCGGCUAGGCAAACUCCUCGCAGUGCAAGACCGAAUAGAGAAACGUCAGUAGGGCUGCCCGUCCGAAUUUCGAAAGUCUUUCGAGGCUUUCUGAGCGUUUCCGGGUUGGUCGCUUGACUCGUUUGGCGACAAACGAGCUAGAUGAAUGAUCGGCAAUCUUUUCUCCUACGGGUGAUAGAUUGAACAGGAUUCGGCUUAUCGCAUCCGCUCCAGCA
rnacentral:RNase_P_RNA from 1 species